UUGUGUUUUAUUUGACAGCCUUCCAACUUGAGUCUAGCCCAAAGCCUGCACUCUAAUACAUAUCAUACUUGAUAUUAAAGUGAGAAGGGGGUAAUUUAUAGGAGCUGCCUGAGAACGGCUCUCUUCCGGGGCCAGCCUAUGUGGAAUCGCCACCUCUGGUCAGGUAACAAGGAAUGCGAAAACCAUUCACAGUGAGUUGACAGGGAUAGAGGAAGCUUUUCCAGCAGCAGCGCUGAAAACCACACGUCCUGGGCAUGGCUACCGUUCAAAAGAAGAUGGAGCACAGAGCAGGGGUCUUUUCCAAAGAGGAGAAAAUGCCCCUGAAACCCCACUUCUUGACUUUGAGCAGAGGUGCCAUCUCUAAUGAUUAGCAAGACACUCUAGGUUGUUUGUGACGAAGAACUCCACCUGCGCUGUGAAAUCCCCAUGAUUUUUCUCACAUUCCCACUCAAGCUGCCGAGCAACUGGGCCCUUUCUCUUCUACGUGCGGCUGUGUCAGUGUGAUUUCUGUGCGCCAUGCCACUGGGCUGUACCUUCGUGCCCCACCGCAAUUAAUGAUGGGCUGUGGGAGGAGGCUGGCAGGUCACGGGAGGGCAAGGUCCCUGCAUCCGCACCCCCACCCCCAGCGGGCUCCCUUUCUUUCCAGUGGGGGUGACAUCCUCAGCUCUGCUUUUCGAGGUAUCCUUUGAAUGUAUCCCCCAGGGCUUCUGGAAUCCUCCCGCAGUUCUGCAGUCUCGUGGCGGGACUGCGGCAGCAUGAGGCUUGCAUGUGCAAAGGCAACAUGAGGACAUGCGGACUUCAUCCCUGAAAGCAGAGCUCCUGAGGUGUGCCCUUCCACAACCCAGCAACACCAGCCCCCAGUGCCCUGGAACUUUCUCUGGACAGACACAGCUUUGCCUCAGGCAGGACUGACCAGGACCUGAAGAGAGCUGGCUUGGGAGCUCUCUGGAAGGGUCUUGCAUCUAAAAACCGGAAACCAGAAGAAUGGAUGGUGAUCAGAAAUCUGUGCUCUUAUUUCCUGCUGACUAAAUCGGAUUGUCUUGAACAAGAGACUUUAUCGGUUCAUCUAUAAAAUAAACAUUUUGAGCCAGAUGCCUCUGAGAUUCUUUCCAGCUCUCAGUUCUUGGGUAUCUUUUACCUAUUUAGCUGAAACACUGAUUGAACCUGAACAGGAAAAUAUUUUCCAAUUAGUGUAGAAAUGGUGACUAAUAUACCGGUUGGCUUCUGAGGUGCCUCUGAUCAAAGGCAGGCUUGCUCUGAUAAGGCUGGGCAGGGGUAGGGCUCAGGGGAUUUUAAUAUCUAAACGCACUCACAUUUACACGUGUCAGCCAUGUGCUAGGCAUAUGCUUUCAUGUCUGUGGUCAAGUCCAGUGGGUUUUGGGUUAAUUUUUAUUUUUUA
rnacentral:lncRNA from 1 species